GACGAACGCUGGCGGCGUGCUUAACACAUGCCAGUCGAACGGAAAGGCCUGCUUUCCCUUGUGGAUUGCGGGUACUCGAGUGGCGAACGGGUGAGUAACACGUGAGUGAUCUGCCCCCAACUUGGGUAUAAGCCUGGGAAACUGGGUCUAAUUCCCGAUAGGACUGCAGGGUGGUGCCUGUGGUGGAAAACGAUUUUCUAGUGGUUGGGGAUGAGCUCGCGGCCUAUCAGCUUGUUGGUGGGGUAAUGGCCUACCAAGGCGGCGACGGGUAGCCGGCCUGGGAGGGUGGACGGCCACAUUGGGACUGGGAUACGGCCCAGACUCCUACGGGAGGCAGCAGUGGGGAAUAUUGCACAAUGGGCGGAAGCCUGAUGCAGCGACGCCGCGUGGGGGAUGACGGCCUUCGGGUUGUAAACUCCUUUCGACCGCGAGGAAGCCACCUGGUUGGAAGGGUGGUGACGGUAGUGGUAGAAGAAGCACCGGCUAACUACGUG
rnacentral:rRNA from 1 species